GGUGAGAUGGCCGAGCGGUCUAAGGCGGCCAGACUAAAGGUCCAGGAUGCAUUUGUCAUCCAUUCUAUCUGGUCCGAAAGGGCGUGGGUUCAAAUCCCACUCUCAUCA